UAAAGGUUGGCAGUAGAGGUGAGGGUGUCUUGCUGGAGAGCCGUGUGUACCUGAGGCCUUCUGAAGGUGGGAGACAGCCCCAGCCUGCACAUUUGGACUGGAGCUGGGUUGCAGCGUUUACUUGUGACCAUCUGCUGUGCUAAAGCUGGCCAUCUUCUGAAAGAGCUGAACUGACAAAGCGCAACCUGUUACAGCUGAAAACAAGAACUUGAUAAAGAUGAAUGAAGAACGGAUUUCUGGUCUUACCUAAUCAUUUUGGCUGCAGCAAGAUGAAUUACUGAGGACAUCCAUUAAAAUGAUGAUUGUAAUUCAGCUCUGUAGUUACUGAAGUUUGGGGAACCAGAAGGCAAGAUCGUUACUUUUACUGAAUGGCAUUGAGCAUUUAUGAAAUGAAUAUUGCUCAUCGUUACUUGCUGAAUGUGUGACAGAGCUGGAGGGAAGAACAACUGAGAUCUGAUUCUUAACCCAUGCCUGUUCCUCUUACUUGCCUCAUCUCAAGAAGUUGGAAAAAAAAGCAUCACUUGGGAGGUGUUCCCUUAACCAAGAACCAAACCUGGUGCUGACCUUCGGAGCCAUGAUCUCCACUGCUUGCAGGGGUUGCUGAAAGAAGUCUGUUCCUUUCCCUGUUCCCUCAUUAAGCAACAGGAACUGGUUCUGGCUAAGCACUUGGCUGAGUGAGGCAUCGACCUGUGAAGUGUAGAAGUUCUCACUGCUGUUGAGGAUCCUGGGAAAUGGAACGCAAGGCUAAAAUCCCCUAAUGAAAAUUAAGUGACCAAGCAGUGUAGAACAGUCAUGUCUCUGUGAGACUGCCAGCUUUGGUCAACGUUAUUCUUUGCUUGGAGAUGCUGUGGUGCGAUCAGACUUCUUAAAACCCUUCAGUCUUGUGCACAUGUAAGAAAGAAAGAGAGGAAAAAGAAAACAUUUUUAGGCGGCGCUGAUGUGUUGUUAUAGUAACACGUAAAGUCUAGUAAUCUGAGGGAAUACAUUUUAAACAGUUGCCUCUUGCAAUUUUCUGGUAGCCAAAUCUUCCCAUUGUGGUGUUAUCAGUUUUCUUUGUUAGUGAUGUAGGGAUCUCUGGCUAGUAAAUUUUCCAUGCUUUCGAUGCGUAUGUACUGAAGAUAAAUUAUGAAUGACUGUAGUAGUUGGGACUAAGAUCCAUCUAGCCCAGUGGCUUUUAUUCAGUGAUGACCACAAGUGAAAGGUCUGGGAAGGAAGAAUCUAAAUACAAGCAAUACUUCACCGAAAUGGUCUCCUUGUCUCCCAACCGCUUGUUGUCUCAGAGGCUUUGUGAUCCAGAAACAGUUUCUGUGUAUUAAGUCAUCUUCACUGGAUUCUGUUCCAGGAACUUAGGCAUUAUUCUCUAAGCUUGUGUUAACUUUUAAUAUCUGUUAUUAGAUGACUAAGAGUUAAAUCAGAAUAAAGGUUAGGACUGGGGAUAUUGGAUGAAGUAAUGUAGUUCCAUUCUUGCUUUAACCAUUAUCUCACUAUGAGACUUUGGGAAAUCAUGAUCUCGCUAAAGAUUUAAGCUCUGUACUUGUAAAAUGUGAACAAUACUUCGAAGUCGAAGUUUUGGAAGUUUUUUCUCACUCUGAGAGCACCAUGAACAGAGCAAAUAUCACUUUCCUCAUCAGUCCUCUCUAUAUCAAAGCACUGUGUGAGAAGCACACAUAGAAGAAGAAAAUUUAUUCCCUUUAAAUAAAUUGCUGAGAAGCUUGCAAUAUCGUGAGCUUUCUCCUGAACUCUAUUGUAAGCAUCGAAUAGCGUAGCAUAAGGCAAAAUUAUUUUUUUGGUACCCUUGUCAUAAAAACCUAUCAAUUCAAGAAAUCAAUUAUUCUCACCAAAUCUGGAAAAUGUAUUCCUUCUCGGAAUAUAGGCUUUGAACUAUUAAGAAAAGAGUUUUAAGUGCUGUUUUACUCUAAUGACAAUAUUUCAUAGAAUAAUACAAAAAAAAACCCCACCAGAAUUCAUUUGAGAACGCUGAACUUAGCCUUACACUGUAGAGUACUUGCUCUGCAAAAACUCCGUAGGAAACCGUGGCUGUUAAGUGAGACAUCUAUAGGAAGAAGUCUGAAUACAACCUGCAGUGACUGAUACAGACUGUAGGCAGAGUGAGUAGAUAUCAGAAACACUGCUCAGCAGGUUCCAAAGGCAACUAUCUAAAGGUAUCAGCAUUUUUUAAACUUAGGACUUCCUAGACAUGUGAUGAGCUGUUACGGUAAAUGGUCUUGUAAAUGGUUGGAACUGAAGAGCCUGGUUCUUGAUUCAUGCUUUUACUAUUCUCAGAACCUGGAAAUCCAGCAUUUUUUGUCUGUCUGUCCUAAAUAAAUUUAUUAGUCUUA